rnacentral:rRNA from 1 species
GAUAGUAAGGUGGCGGACGGGUGAGUAACACGUAAAGACUUGCCCUGCAGUCUGGGACAACUAUUGGAAACGAUAGCUAAUACCGGAUAUUGCCGCAUGGCGAAAGCUAUAUGCGCUGUAGGAGAGCUUUGCGUCCCAUUAGUUAGUUGGUGAGGUAACGGCUCACCAAGACCGCGAUGGGUAGCCGGCCUGAGAGGGUGAACGGCCACAAGGGGACUGAGACACGGCCCUUACUCCUACGGGAGGCAGCAGUGGGGAAUAUUGGACAAUGGACCAAAGUCUGAUCCAGCAAUUCUGUGUGCACGAUGACGGUCUUAGGAUUGUAAAGUGCUUUCAAUCGGGAAAAAGAAAGUGAUGGUACCGAUAGAAGAAGCGACGGCUAAAUACGUGCCAGCAGCCGCGGUAAUACGUAUGU